CGCCGAGAGCACUGCACUGGACGCUUGGUGCAGUGCAUCUGAUUUCAUUCUCGCAGUAACUCUCUAAGUGUCUGCAGCCAGUGUAGGAGUGACUUCCCACAAAGUGUUAAGCGACAGUGAGACGCUGGCGGUUUUCCAGGGCACUGAGGCCGUGGGCAGGCUGGCUGGCCCCACCAGGGGAAGUGUUUGCAGUCCUGGUCGAUGGGCACACAAGGUAAGCGGCGAGCCCUUCCGGAUGGGUUCCUCCCAGGCACAGGCUGCCCUGCUUCACAUCCAUUUUCUCAUAAACCUCAGACUGAGCCCUGAGAGGCUAUCAUCUGAAGGUUUAAAAAUGCCAAAUCCAACCCUUUGGGACACAAAAGUACAAGAUAAACAGCUCUCUGUUCUGGAAUCCGAGCAGCCUGCCACCGUCUUCAUUGUCUGCCCUGGCUGUUAACCCAGCGCCGACAGCCACGUGUGAGGGCUCUGUGCUGACCCCCUUGCGGCUGCUCAGAGGCAGAAGUCAGGAUUCCCGCGGGGGCUGCCUCUCCGUGGGUCACUUUCCUUCUCUGUCAAGGGCAGAUAAGAGCCCCUCUACUCAACACAGUGCAAUCUGGAAAAUAAAUACAACCGUGAAUGGGAAUAUGUUUUGUAAAUUUAAGCAAUCUGAGUAGUGGAGGCGUUAUGAAUGCUGCACAUUUGGGUACAGAAUCUCCCCCUGGAACAAGAUGGUCCCUGC
rnacentral:lncRNA from 1 species